GAUGAACGCUGGCGGCGUGCCUAAUACAUGCAAGUCGAGCGAACAGACGAGGAGCUUGCUCCUCUGACGUUAGCGGCGGACGGGUGAGUAACACGUGGAUAACCUACCUAUAAGACUGGGAUAACUUCGGGAAACCGGAGCUAAUACCGGAUAAUAUAUUGAACCGCAUGGUUCAAUAGUGAAAGACGGUUUUGCUGUCACUUAUAGAUGGAUCCGCGCCGCAUUAGCUAGUUGGUAAGGUAACGGCUUGCCAAGGCAACGAUGCGUAGCCGACCUGAGAGGGUGAUCGGCCACACUGGAACUGAGACACGGUCCAGACUCCUACGGGAGGCAGCAGUAGGGAACCUUCCGCAAAGGGCGAAAGCCUGACGGAGCAACGCCGCGUGAGUGAUGAAGGUCUUCGGAUCGUAAAACUCUGUUAUUAGGGAAGAACAAAUGUGUAAGUAACUAUGCACGUCUUGACGGUACCUAAUCAGAAAGCCACGGCUAACUACGUG
rnacentral:rRNA from 1 species